rnacentral:tRNA from 1 species
GGGCCUUUAGCUCAGUUGGUCAGAGCAGCCGGCUCAUAACCGGUCGGUCCUGGGUUCGAAUCCCCGAAGGCCCACCA